UGCAGCGGAUCCGCAUGGAUAUGUUGUUAAAGGUUUACCGCCUUGGGAUAGGCUUGCGUCUGAUUAGCUAGUUGGUGUGGUAAUGGCACACCAAGGCUACGAUCAGUAACUGGUCUGAGAGGAUGAUCAGUCACACUGGAACUGAGACACGGUCCAGACUCCUACGGGAGGCAGCAGUGAGGAAUAUUGGGCAAUGCACGAAAGUGUGACCCAGCAACGCCGCGUGGAGGAUGAAGGUAUUCUAUAUCGUAAACUCCUGUGAGAGCAGACGAAAGACAGAUUAUUAAUUUGGAUGACUGUAUGCUCAGAGGAAGCCCCGGCUAACUACGUG
rnacentral:rRNA from 1 species